GAUAAACGCUGGCGGCGUGCCUAACACAUGCAAGUCGAACGCCCUUGAGCAAUCAAGGGAGUGGCGGACGGGUGAGGAACACGUGGGUGAUCUGCCCCGAGGUGAGGGAUACCGGCGAGAAAUCGCCGACAAUACCGCAUACGCUCGCGAAAGUGAGCAAAGUCGUAAGACGCCUGGGGAUGAGCCUGCGUCCGAUUAGUUAGUUGGUGGGGUAAAGGCCUACCAAGACGGCGAUCGGUAGCUGGUCUGAGAGGACGAUCAGCCACACUGGGAUUGA
rnacentral:rRNA from 1 species